UAACAAGGAUUCCCCUAGUAACUGCGAGUGAAGCGGGAAGAGCUCAAAUUUAAAAUCUGGCGGUCUUCUGGCUGUCCGAGUUGUAAUCUGGAGAAGCGUUUUCUGUGUUAGACCGUGUACAAGUCUCCUGGAACGGAGCGUCAUAGAGGGUGAGAAUCCCGUCCAUGACACGGACUACUAAUACUUUGUGAUACGCUCUCGAAGAGUCGAGUUGUUUGGGAAUGCAGCUCAAAAUGGGUGGUAAAUUCCAUCUAAAGCUAAAUACAGGCGAGAGACCGAUAGCGAACAAGUACCGUGAGGGAAAGAUGAAAAGCACUUUGGAAAGAGAGUUAAACAGUACGUGAAAUUGUUGGAAGGGAAACGCUUGAAGUCAGUCGCGUUGUGCAGAACUCAGCCUUGCCUCGGCUUGGUGUACUUUCUGCACAACGGGUCAACAUCAAUUUUGGCCCAUGGAGAAAGGUGGGGGGAAUGUAGGCUGUUUCGGCAGCGUGUUAUAGCCCUCUAUUGUAUACAUGGGCUGGGAUUGAGGAUCGCAGCACGCCCUUGUGGCCGGGGGUUCGCCCUACGUACCGUGCUUAGGAUGUUGGCAGAAUGGCUUUAAGCGACCCGUCUUGAAACACGGACCAAGGAGUCUAACAUGCUUGCGAGUGUUCGGGUGGAAAACCCUUGUGCGUAAUGAAAGUGAAAGUUGGGAACCUCCGCAAGGGGGUGCACCGACGCCCGGCCCUGACGUUCUCUGACGGUGCUGCGGUAGAGCAAGUAUGCUAGGACCCGAAAGAUGGUGAACUAUGCCUGAAUAGGGCGAAGCCAGAGGAAACUCUGGUGGAGGCUCGUAGCGAUUCUGACGUGCAAAUCGAUCGUCAAAUUUGGG
rnacentral:rRNA from 1 species